rnacentral:rRNA from 1 species
GACGAACGCUGGCGGCGUGCUUAACACAUGCAAGUCGAACGGUAAGGCCCUUCGGGGUACACGAGUGGCGAACGGGUGAGUAACACGUGGGUGAUCUGCCCUGCACUUCGGGAUAAGCCUGGGAAACUGGGUCUAAUACCGGAUAGGACCACUGCCUGCAUGGGUGGUGGUGGAAAGCUUUUGCGGUGUGGGAUGGGCACUCGGCCUAUCAGCUUGUUGGUGGGGUGAUGGCCUACCAAGGCGACGACGGGUAGCCGGCCUGAGAGGGUGACCGGCGACACUGGGACUGAGAUACGGCCCAGGCUCCUACGGCAGGCAGCAGUGGGGAAUAUUGCACAAUGGGGGCAAGCCUGAUGCAGCGACGCCGCGUGAGGGAUGACGGCCUUCGGGUUGUAAACCUCUUUCAGCACCGACGAAGCGCAAGUGACGGUAGGUGCAGAAGAAGGACCGGCCAACUACGUGCCAGCCGCCGCCGUAA